rnacentral:tRNA from 8 species
GCGGGCGUAGCUCAGUCGGUAGAGCAUCAGUUUGUGGCACUGGAGGUCGCCAGUUCGAUCCUGGUCGCUCGCC